rnacentral:lncRNA from 1 species
CGGGCUGGGGCCGCGGCGGCGGGGCGGACCCUGGAGAGUCGGUAGCCGGGGCUGGGGGCCACGGCCUGCCAGACGCGGCGGGAGGGCGCCGGGAAGCUGGCCCGGGCCGGGGGAGGCGAAGACAGGGCGGGCUGGGAACUGUGAGGCGAGGGACCCCGGCCCAAGCAGUUCAGCUCAUCACACCGCGCUCGGGAACCACCACGGCCUCCAGGUCGCCACCAGAAGAAGCUCCAGUAUCUUUUUGACCCCAUCUCCUCCCCCCAAGUGAUGCUGUCUACAUCCUGAGUUUUAUGGCCUGAAUGGUACUUCCAUCAUGGAGUCAGUUGUGCUAAGGUCUGGGACCUACUAAGGAACUAAAGUCACUGACGAGACAAGACUCUGGACAUGCCUGUGAAAGUUAUCUGUGUUAACUGAGGUGUUAACCAUCUCAUGGGCUUGGAUCUCAGGAUGAAUAACACGGAGGUGGGAUGAGCAUCAGCGUGCUCUGCUUCUUGCUCCUUCCUGCUGCCACCACUUCUCCCCACUGGGAUGAAUGAACCCUAUCUCCUGGGAGCCAAAAUAAAUC